rnacentral:rRNA from 1 species
GACGAACGCUGGCGGCGUGCUUAACACAUGCAAGUCGAACGAAGUGGCGAACGGGUGAGUAACGCGUACUCAACCUUCCCUUCAGAGGGGGACAACAGUUGGAAACGACUGCUACUACCGCAUACUGAAGGAGGGGAUUGCGUCUGUUGAGCUAGUUGGAGGGGUAACGUCCCACCAAGGCGAUGGUCAGUAGCCGGGCUGAGAGGAUGAACGGCCACAUUGGGACGGAGAGACGGCCACGACGACUACGGGAGGCAGCAUGGGGGAAGCUUCCGCAAUGGACGAAAGUCGGACGGAGCAACGCCGCGUGAGUGAGGAGGGCCUUCGGGUUGUAAAGCUCUGUUAAUCGGGACGCGGUACCGGAAUAGAAAGCCACGGCUAACUACGUGCCAGCAGCCGCGGUAAUUC